CGGUGAGAGGAAAGUGGCGGACGGGUGAGUAAUGUGUAGAGAAUCUGCCCUAGAGUGAGGGACAACAGAGGGAAACUUCUGCUAAUACCUCAUAUGCGCGUAGCUGAGAUGCUAUUCGUGAAAACUCCGGUGCUCUGGGAUGAGUCUGCAUCUGAUUAGCUAGUUGGGGGUGUAAUGGACCACCAAGGCGACGAUCAGUAGCUGGUUUGAGAGGAUGAUCAGCCACAAUGGGACUGAGACACGGCCCAUACUCCUACGGGAGGCAGCAGUAGGGAAUUUUGCGCAAUGGGGGGAAAAACCCCCUGACGCAGCAACGCCGCGUGAACGAAAAAGCCCUUCGGGGUGUAAAGUUCUGUCAGUGGGGACGAAACUUGACGGUACCCACAGAGGAAGCAUCGGCUAACUCCGUGCCAGCCGCGGC
rnacentral:rRNA from 1 species